GCGGGUGCCUAAAGCAAAGAGGCCACACCCGUUCCCAUUCCGAACACGGUAGUUAAGCUCUUUGCACCGAUGGUAUUGGUUAACGCUGAGAGAGUAGGUAGCGCCCGCU
rnacentral:rRNA from 1 species